UCAGCUGCUACAUUUGGUAUCGAGACCUCGUGAAAAAUCACGAUCCUGAAGUCGUCGGUUCAACCCCCACCGAUCACGUUCGAGUGGUAUUUCGGGUGUGGCGACUGAGUGAGCGAAUAUCGCACAAAAAAACUAAAAAAAAGUAGCUGAACCGACUGGAUUGUCUCUGUGCCUGAAAAACCUGAAGGCUAGGCGCAUGAAGGGCGGCAUGACGCGACGUGGGCUUGGCCACCCCACUGCCCGAGGGUAGGCGAAGGUAGGCACAGGCUGGCGGUAUACGAGGCUCUAAGGGCCCGGGACGGUUCCCUUCAAAGGGGGGGGAAUGUAGCAGCCAGUACACAGUACGGUGCUAUAAAUACGCGCAGAGCGCGACCGCCAGCAACUCGAGAGACCUUUUCAGCGGUCAGCUGCUACAGGCUCCACUUUACAUGCGGGUGCACGUGUGUACAAAGAGCAGGAUUGCGCAGACUCAGCAGAACUUCGUAUGUUGGUGCAGCCGACCAAGGAAGUUACCGACCAGCACACCCUACCUCGCUACCUGGCAAGCAUACAUAGCACCUGUAGUAGCUGGCCGCUGAAAAGGCCUCUCGAGAUGCUGGUGGUCGUGCUUCGCGAGUAUUUGUAGCGCUGUACUGUGUACCAGCUACUACAGCAUCCUUGAGCAGAGAGAGGCUGAUGAUGAGAGCGGGGAACGAAUCAUCACCAAAGCUCUUCCAUCAUAUGAUGGAAAGCAUCAUGCAUCAUAUGAUAGGAGGUAUUAUGCAUUAUACUUCUUUGUGCGUCUGAAACUAUGCCGUCUAAUACUAUGCCGCCACCAGCACCAAUUUGCUUGUUCUCACAUCGGACGUGAUAUAACACUAUCGUACAUACUAUACGACGGUAUAUAUAUACGACGGUAUAUACAUAUAUAUUAUAUAUAUACGACGUGAGUCUUUUCCGGAAAGAACCGAACGGUGGAUGCAGAUCCCGUGAUAUGCCCAGCUGGAUACUACAGAUAGGGAGCUGAUUUUGCCAUAAACCAAGCCGCUCUGUUGCAACAUUGCAUACAUAACCUGAUGCAUUCAUCACUUCCUGCUGUCAUUACCCUCAUCAACAACGAUGAGGUAUUUUACUGCGGAACGUAUGUCGCUUGAGCAACAAGAUUACUAGCACCUGCUAACAGCACUCAUUAAUAUUAUUGCAAUGUGGGCAAUUGCCCACGAGGCCAUCUGCACAUAUAUGUCUCCAUUUUGUCUCCUGGCCUUCAUUCACGCAUAGGCCAUUCCUUUUUGCAUCUUUAUUGCCAUGUAUGUGGUUAUGUUAGUUCCCUGAAGGCCUGCCCAUCCUUUAUUUGCUGCAAUAUGUACGGCACGCAGGGCUAGCUGCUGGGGAAGUAGUGACACCAACAUCAGCUUUAGCUACUCGUCUGUUUGGCUGCUGCCAGGGUAGCUAGCUGAGGCAGCCUGCACAUACACGCAUCCGUACCACUCUGGGAAAAGGGGGGUCAUUUUACCCGUAAUUUUGGGUCAAUCCACCCGUAAUUUGACAGAAAUUACGGGUCCGUAACACGUUACGGGUCCCGUAAUUUGAGCACAAGGAUACAGGUGAACAUUUACGGGUGAAGACCCAGUGAUUACGGGUGGAUUUUACGCGGUGCUGGAGGUUAAUUACGGGCGCAUGUAACCAAUUACACGCAAAAUUACGGGUGAAGACCCAGUGAUUACAGGUGGAUUUUACGUGGUGCUGGAGGUUAAUUACGGGCGCAUGUAACCAAUUACACGCAAAAUUACGGGUGAAGACCCAGUGAUUACGGGUGGAUUUUACGCGGUGCUGGAGGUGAAUUACGGGCGCAUGUAACCAAUUACACGCGAAAUUACGGGUGAAGACCCAGUGAUUACGGGUGGAUUUUACGCGGUGCUGGAGGUGAAUUACGGGCGCAUGUAACCAAUUACACGCAAAAUUACGGGUGAAGACCCAGUGAUUACGGGUGGAUUUUACGCGGUGCUGGAGGUGAAUUACGGGCGCAUGUAACCAAUUACACGCAAAAUUACGGGUGCAGACCCAGUGAUUACGGGUGGAUUUUACGCGGUGCUGGAGGUGAAUUACGGGCGCAUGUAACCAAUUACACGCAAAAUUACGGGUGAAGACCCAGUGAUUACGGGUUACACAGGCAGAUAUUACUCUGCGAUGUGACGCUUACUGCAUGUUAAAUUAACGAUUGGUGAAUACUUGCGGCAAGCCUCAAAAUGGACGCACACCCCUUGUCAAAGUAGCUUAAGUCUCAGUGUGCUUGUGGACCAAGGCGCUUUGGACUCACAACGCCAACCAGCCAGCCUGACAGCCUGAUGCAUUCAUCUCAACCAUCGUCCUCGAAAACAGCGUUCAUGUCACCCCCCAUACAGCAAGUGCUCGCCAAGGAGUCUCACCACCACUUGCAGAGUUCAUGCCUACUCCUACGGAUGAAACCCCCGAUGCAUGACAUGUACCGGCACCUAUUGGGAUUGGUCUGUCCCAUCCUGCCUGGGGCCGACCUGGUGUGUGCACCCCCAAGCGCUCAUCACUGCUGCCAUGUUACUGCUCACUUCCACCACUGUCGCUGCUGCCACUGCCACUGCUGCUGCUGCUAGCUUCGCUAUAUUUGCCCGGGUCCUCCGAGCUGGACUCCUCCCCAGCGCCAGCGGCUAGGACCUCUUCCUCACCAGCAUCCGACCCACCCUCCAAGCUACCCUCCUCUGUCCGCCCCCUCCGCCCUCCCUUGCCUGCGCCGCCCUUCCCCG
rnacentral:lncRNA from 1 species